rnacentral:lncRNA from 1 species
UUGAGAGCAUCGGAAUUGAAAUUCCCUCAAAUAAUCGAGUUUAUAACCUUUCAUGGCCAAACUUGUCAUUUUGUUAAUGGAUUGGACUUUCCUUGGAUGUAUUCAGACCCAUUAUUGCUCUUUGCUUGUUCUCUUUAAGAACACUUUGAGCCUUGAUGACCUUCUGUGUGAUGCAAUUCUUUUGACUCUUUGGAUGUUUGGAUAUCAUUGUGUUGCACUACUUAUGAUCGAUUAAUUACUU